CUGCGCUUAGAUGAAGACACUA
rnacentral:miRNA from 1 species